rnacentral:rRNA from 1 species
UACAGAGGUCUCAAGCGUUUGUUCGGAUUCAUUGGGCGUAAAGGGUGCGUAGGCGGCGCGGUAAGUCGGGUGUGAAAUCUCGGGGCUUAACUCCGAAACUGCAUUCGAUACUGCGGUGCUUGAGGACUGGAGAGGAGACUGGAAUUCAUGGUGUAGCAGUGAAAUGCGUAGAGAUCAUGAGGAAGACCAGUGGCGAAGGCGGGUCUCUGGACAGUUCCUGACACUGAGACACGAAGGUCAGGGGAGCAAACGGG